rnacentral:rRNA from 1 species
GACGAACGCUGGCGGCGUGCCUAAUACAUGCAAGUUGAGCGCUGAAGGUUGGUACUUGUACCAACUGGAUGAGCAGCGAACGGGUGAGUAACGCGUGGGGAAUCUGCCUUUGAGCGGGGGACAACAUUUGGAAACGAAUGCUAAUACCGCAUAAAAACUUUAAACACAAGUUUUAAGUUUGAAAGAUGCAAUUGCAUCACUCAAAGAUGAUCCCGCGUUGUAUUAGCUAGUUGGUGAGGUAAAGGCUCACCAAGGCGAGGAUACAUAGCCGACCUGAGAGGGUGGUCGGCCACAUUGGGACUGAGACACGGCCCAAACGCCUACGGGAGGCAGCAGUAGGGAAUCGUCGGCAAUGGACGAAAGUCUGACCGAGCAACGCCGCGUGAGGGAGGAAGGUUUUCGGAUCGUAAAACUCUGUUGGUAGGGAAGAACGUUGGUGAGAGUGGAAAGCUCAUCAAGUGACGGUAACUACCCAGAAAGGGACGGCUAACUACGUG